rnacentral:rRNA from 1 species
GUCCGGGUGAGUAACACGUAGGAAAUCUUCCCAAAAGCGGGGGAUAACGUCCCUAACGGGACGGUAAUACCGCAUAAGCCCACGUCAGCUCCGGCUGAUGAGGGAAAAGGUGGCCUCUAUAUAUAUGCUAUCGCUUUUGGAUGAUCCUGCGGCGCAUCAGCUAGUUGGUGGGGUAAUGGCCUACCAAGGCUAAGACGCGUAGCUGGUCUGAGAGGAUGAUCAGCCACACUGGCACUGAAACACGGGCCAGACUCCUACGGGAGGCAGCAGUGGGGAAUAUUGGACAAUGGGCGCAAGCCUGAUCCAGCCACGCCGCGUGAGUGAUGAAGGCCUUCGGGUUGUAAAGCUCUGUGGGGAGGGACGAAAACGGCACGAAAGAAACGGCGUGUCCUUGACGGUACCUCCUUAGCAAGCACCGGCUAACUCUGUGCCAGCAGCCGCGGUAAUACAGAGGGUGCGAACGUUGCUCGGAAUUACUGGGCGUAAAGCGCGUGUAGGCGGAUUGGUGUGUCAGGCGUGAAAUCCCCGAGCUCAACUCGGGAACUGCGCCUGAAACUGCCGGUCUUGAGUAUCGGAGAGGGUGGCGGAAUUCCUGGUGUAGAGGUGAAAUUCGUAGAUAUCAGGAGGAACACCGGUGGCGAAGGCGGCCACCUGGACGAUUACUGACGCUGAGACGCGAAAGCGUGGGGAGCAAACAGGAUUAGAUACCCUGGUAGUCCACGCCGUAAACGAUGGGUGCUAGGUGUCUCGGGUAUUGACCCCUGAGGUGCCGUAGCUAACGCGUUAAGCACCCCGCC